rnacentral:rRNA from 2 species
UGCUUGUAUUAUACUGAUUUGACAUUAAGACGAGUGGCGAACUGGUGAGUAACACGUGGGUAACUUGCCCCGAAGCGGGGGAUAACAUUUGGAAACAGGUGCUAAUACCGCAUAACAACAAAAACCACAUGGUUUUUGUUUAAAAGAUGGUUUCGGCUAUCACUUUGGGAUGGACCCGCGGCGUAUUAGCUAGUUGGUGAGGUAAUGGCUCACCAAGGCAAUGAUACGUAGCCGACCUGAGAGGGUAAUCGGCCACAUUGGGACUGAGACACGGCCCAAACUCCUACGGGAGGCAGCAGUAGGGAAUCUUCCACAAUGGACGAAAGUCUGAUGGAGCAACGCCGCGUGAGUGAUGAAGGGUUUCGGCUCGUAAAACUCUGUUGUUGGAGAAGAACGGGUGUCAGAGUAACUGUUGACAUCGUGACGGUAUCCAACCAGAAAGCCACGGCUAACUACGUGCCAGCAGCCGCGGUAAUACGUAGGUGGCAAGCGUUGUCCGGAUUUAUUGGGCGUAAAGCGAGCGCAGGCGGUUUUUUAGGUCUGAUGUGAAAGCCUUCGGCUUAACCGGAGAAGUGCAUCGGAAACCGGGAGACUUGAGUGCAGAAGAGGACAGUGGAACUCCAUGUGUAGCGGUGAAAUGCGUAGAUAUAUGGAAGAACACCAGUGGCGAAGGCGGCUGUCUGGUCUGCAACUGACGCUGAGGCUCGAAAGCAUGGGUAGCGAACAGGAUUAGAUACCCUGGUAGUCCAUGCCGUAAACGAUGAGUGCUACGUGUUGGAGGGGUUUCCGCCCUUCACUGUUGCAGCUAACGCCUUACGGUUUCCGCCUUGGGGAUUACGACUACCAGGGUUGAAAUUCAAAAGCAAUCGCCAAGGGCCCGCGCGACCAGUGUAUCGAGCCGGUUAAUUCAAUUCUACCCGUACAACCUUA